rnacentral:rRNA from 1 species
CAGUAGCCGCGGGAACACGAAGGGUGCAAGCGUUAAUCGGAAUUACUGGGCGUAAAGCGUGCGUAGGCGGUUUGUUAAGUCUGUUGUGAAAUCCCCGGGCUCAACCUGGGAAUGGCAAUGGAUACUGGCAAGCUAGAGUGUGGCAGAGGGGGGUGGAAUUCCGCGUGUAGCAGUGAAAUGCGUAGAUAUGCGGAGGAACACCGAUGGCGAAGGCAGCCCCCUGGGCCAACACUGACGCUCAUGCACGAAAGCGUGGGGAGCAAACAGGAUUAGAUACCCCUGUAGUCCCUGUCUCUUAUAU